CUCACCCUCCAAAUGACACCACCAGCUUCCUAUCUUCUUCUUCCAGCCGAGAUGUCUUGAGAGAAAAAGUUAGAAAACCUCCAUUGAUAUCCAAGCAUCAAGGUUUGGUUUCUUGAGCUCUAAAACUCCCAAAAAAAUCUCAACCGAUUAAAGUGUUCUUCUCUUUCUUCUCUUCACAACCAUAUCAGUUUUCACAAGAAACUCUUGUCUAGGAACCUUAUGGACCAAGGAAUCAUCAUUUUUAGCAAGAGAAAAGUAAGAAAAUCUCUCUCUAUUCCAUGAUGAAGGUUCGACCUUCAAUGUUCUAUUGUUAAAAAGUUUGUUUUGAUUAAAAACUAGGUGAAAAAGUGAACUAGGAAUCACUUAGAAGGACUGAUUUUUGUGGUUUAUUUAAGAGGAAUACACAGCUAGUGAAAGCUGCACUUGUAAGCUGAGAUGAAGGGUCGCUUACAGUGGAUAUUGAUACAAGCAUGGCUAGAGUGCCACACCUAUAAAGCAAAGAUUUCUUACAGUGAAUAUGUGUGGAUACAUCGGUUAGAGAGAGCUGUCUUUUAAGACAAGGGUGCUAACAGUGGGUAUGCCAACUGGAAAGCCAUAAUCGGAUUAAAUGCCGGGUAACGUCGGGAGCAGGUCCGUCCCUGGUCCUAUUUAUAUAGACAGGAGCAGUGGUAGCAGCUCAUCUGGUGAGACUGAAGACAUUUUAAUGGCGCCAGAGGAGGAGGAGGAAGAAAAGGAUCCUGAGAAGGAGUAACUAUCGUCAGGGAGUGACCAUUCUGCAAGUGCAUCUCGGGAACCUGCCUAACGGCAAUAUAUGACCAUGGACAGAGAUCGUCGGUAGCAUUUUUUUGUUAGCACAACCCAAAGAUUAUGAGUGUUUAGAGUUGCUAGGCUAGCUGGGUGCCAAUUUAAAGGUUUUUUCUAUGGGCCAGGCCUUGGGAUGUCAUAUAUUUGUAUAUAUACAUAUUUACUAAUAGUGGCUAUGACAGGGUGUAAACUAACUGGGUUUGUGUAUGACGUUGUACAUGACGUAUAUUGUGAGUUUGGUUAUCUGCUGCUUUAGUUGUGUUUAAAUUUCUGUUGACGCUUGUUAUGAAUGGCUUGCUAUAUAUUCCACACACGUUUUAAAAAGAAAAUUACCCAUAAAAAUGAUAACGUUUUAACAAGAUAACAUCCUCAUAUAAUAUAUUAUUAGUUACAAAAUAAAAAAGCAAAUUAGUAACACUUGACUUCUAGUAUGAUCAUGAACCAGGAAUUAGGUUGUUACAUGGAGGGGCCGAAAUUUAGGUAUAGUGGGACGCCCACGAUCCCUGAAGGGACCAUAAGAUGACACCAAAUAUAUAGGAAGGGACUGACCUCCUCAGAGCGUUUUCCAGACUAGAACGAGAGGUCCCAUCUUCAAUAACCUAAGGUACAUAUAACAUUUUUUUUAUAUAUAGCAUUUGGUGAUUGAUUUUGGUAUAUAUAUCGACAUUUCCUGGACUUUAGUAGAAUACAUUGUAGUUGAAUUUGGUAACUAAUUUCGGUGUAUAUAUAACAUUUUU